rnacentral:rRNA from 1 species
CGCGGCCUAUCAGCUUGUUGGUGGGGUUAAGGCCUACCAAGGCGACGACGGGUAGCCGGCCUGAGAGGGUGACCGGCCACACUGGGACUGAGAUACGGCCCAGACUCCUACGGGAGGCAGCAGUGGGGAAUAUUGCACAAUGGGCGCAAGCCUGAUGCAGCGACGCCGCGUGAGGGAUGACGGCCUUCGGGUUGUAAACCUCUUUCAGCAGGGACGAAGCGCAAGUGACGGUACCUGCAGAAGAAGGACCGGCCAACUACGUGCCAGCAGCCGCGGUAAUACGUAGGGUCCGAGCGUUGUCCGGAAUUACUGGGCGUAAAGAGCUCGUAGGUGGUUUGUCGCGUUGUUCGUGAAAACUCACAGCUCAACUGUGGGCGUGCGGGCGAUACGGGCAGACUGGAGUACUGCAGGGGAGACUGGAAUUCCCGGUGUAGCGGUGGAAUGCGCAGAUAUCAGGAGGAACACCGGUGGCGAAGGCGGGUCUCUGAGCAGUAACUGACGCUGAGGAGCGAAAGCGUGGGGAGCGAACAGGAUUAGAUACCCUGGUAGUCCACGCCGUAAACGGUGGGUACUAGGUGUGGGUUUCCUUCCUUGGGAUCCGUGCCGUAGCUAACGCAUUAAGUACCCCGCCUGGGGAGUACG